ensembl:snRNA U6 U6 spliceosomal RNA
GCACCAGAACGCUUGCGCCUAUGCUAAAAUUGAAACCAUACGGAGAUGCUUAGCGUGGCCCCUGUGCCAGGACAACACCCACAUCUGUGAAGGGUUCCACAUAAAG